AGUACCAUGUGCAGGCAAAACUGGUCUAGCAACAAGCUGCAGGGCGUCUAUUUCUGCCAGGAUUCCCCGUGUGCAAAGUUCAGAAUAGAAAUGGUACUCCCUACCGGCUCCGGUUGCGCUCCUGGCGGCGCCGAUCCUCCGCCUCCGGUCGCUCCCGCCGUUGACCAGCCUCAAGCAGCUCCAGAGGUCUCUCCGCCUGCAGUUGACCAGCCUCCUGCCGUCGAUCCUCAGCUCCCCGGUCCUGCCGCUCCAGUCGUGCCGCCACCGGAUGGUCCACCCCGCAGACCACCAGGAGGAGGUAUGGCUCCUGAUGUACCUGCUCGGAGCAGAACUCCCGAUAGACCAGGAGGACGUCGUCCCUAACAUCAAUUCCACGCUCCAAGUGGUAUUACGAUUUACGAUCGAAAUGCAACUUGCAUGUGGCUUGUUUAUGUACCUUAUUAUAGACAAUGUUAAUUAAUAGAGUACUGAAAAGAAGAAAAGUUGGCAUGGUCGCAACACUGUGGAACAUGUAUGUAUGUAUGUUGUAUCAAGUGCAUCAAAUAUGUGUGUAAGAUUUCUGGUAGUGUUGUGCUAUGUAAAUGAGAUAUCGUUUAAUAUGGUUUGUGAGGAAAAAACAUAAUUGUUGGAUUGGA